CCUACGGGGGGCAGCAGUAGGGAAUAUUGCACAAUGGGGGGAACCCUGAUGCAGCGACGCCGCGUGAAGGAAGAAGUAUCUCGGUAUGUAAACUUCUAUCAGCAGGGAAGAAAGAGGACGGUACCUGACUAAGAAGCCCCGGCUAACUACGUGCCAGCAGCCGCGGUAAUACGUAGGGGGCGAGCGUUAUCCGGAUUUACUGGGUGUAAAGGGAGCGUAGACGGCCAUGCAAGCUCGGUGUGAAAGGUCGGGGCCCAACCCCGG
rnacentral:rRNA from 1 species